AUUGAACGCUGGCGGAAUGCUUUACACAUGCAAGUCGAACGGCAGCACGGGGCAACCUGGUGGCGAGUGGCGAACGGGUGAGUAAUAUAUCGGAACGUGCCCAAUCGUGGGGGAUAACGUAGCGAAAGUUACGCUAAUACCGCAUACGAUCUACGGAUGAAAGCGGGGGAUCGCAAGACCUCGCGCGAAUGGAGCGGCCGAUAUCAGAUUAGGUAGUUGGUGGGGUAAAGGCUCACCAAGCCAACGAUCUGUAGCUGGUCUGAGAGGACGACCAGCCACACUGGAACUGAGACACGGUCCAGACUCCUACGGGAGGCAGCAGUAAGGAAUCUUCCACAAUGGGCGAAAGCCUGAUGGAGCAACGCCGCGUGCAGGAUGAAGGCCUUCGGGUUGUAAACGUAGCUUUAUGAGUGAAGAAUAUGACGGUAACUCAUGAAUAAGCACCGGCUAACUACGUGCCAGCAGCCGCGGUAAU
rnacentral:rRNA from 1 species